UACGUAGGUGGCAAGCGAUACUCGGAAUCACUAGGCGUAAAGCGCAGGUAGGCGGUUUGGUAAGUCUCUUGUGAAAGCUCCCGGCUCAACUGGGAGAGGCCAAGGGAAACUACCAGGCUAGAGUGUGGCAGAGGAAACUGGAAUUCCCGGUGUAGCGGUGAAAUGCGUAGAUAUCGGGAAGAACACCCGUGGCGAAGGCGGCUCUCUGGGACGGUACUGACGCUGAGACGCGAAAGCGUGGGGAGCGAACAGG
rnacentral:rRNA from 1 species